CCUCUUUCCUCUUCCGGGACUGCUUGUGUUGUUGUGAUGGCGUGAGGCCCGAGGUGGCUGUUGUGGAUUCGUGCAUUUGACUGAUUGGACUGACGUUGGUGAUUGACUUGUGAAAUGGUGCGUGAUUGGAUGUCCCCCAAACUCACAUGACAGGUGAGGAAGGCUGCUGUUUUGUCUACCGGCGCAAGCGUGCCUCUGAAGUGUCCGCAGUGAAGUGCUGCGCUGCGCAUGUCUGUUGCCGUGCCGAACGGACAAGCCAAGUCCAGCGCGCGUUUGGAAGUGCGCCUGGCGGCUACCGUCCCUGCAUAGCGCGUAGGUCCCUUUCUGUCGCACCUGUGGUACGCUGACAAG